ACUUCUGUCCAAUCAGCGGCCCGUUCCUGCCCUUAAUCCCGCCCAAGCCGAGGUCUCAUUGGUUACAAUGCAUUAGCUUCUCCAUUGGUUCAUGGAUCUGCCAUCAAAGUUAGAUUGGCCUUUACUAGCUCCUCCCCCCGGUGAAGGGGCAAAUAACUUAAGUUUGAGGGAGCAGGAAUGGAGGCGUUUGAGGGAGAAAAGGCCCUUCCUUUGCGCAAGUUGGCUUAGGAAAGCAGCACGAAUAUUAUUAUUGUGAACUAAUCAGCUAAUCAGACAAAUAUAAGGAUCGAGAGUUGAAGGAAACAGGUCCUAAUCACUGACACAUUACUUAAAGUCUCCUAGCCUCAGUCUGCUCACCUGUAAAAUGGAGCUCAUGAUCAGAGGAAUAUUAUGAUGAAUGUGUCUGUGUGUGUUUCUGCUGAUGUCACCCAAUGACAGCUGAGAAGGUGUCUCCAGCGCCCAGAACAGUGACUGGAUCAUUGUAAAUUCCCAAUAUAUGCUUGUUAAACGAAUGAAUGAAGAAAGGAAGAUGCCUGUCUUCAUGUCCUGGUGGAAGGACCCUUACUGUAAAGAAGCUCCCAGGAGGAGGGAGGACCAAAGUGUGAAGGGACAGGGGAGUGGACAGCCCAGAGUCAGUCUGUGUUUCUCCCUCAUAUUUCAGCAUCAAGUGAUUAAUUCAUUCAUUUAAUAAAAUUUUAUUGAGCACCUAGUGCCAGGCACUGUUCUAGGCACCAGGGCUUCAGCAGUGAAAAGACAAUUAAGAGUGGCUUAGUCAGUUGAGCAUCUGCCUUCGGCUCAGGUCGUGAUCUCGAGGUCCUGGGAUCAAGCCCUGUGUCAGGCUCCCUACUCAGCAAGGAGUCUGCUUCUCCCUCUCUUUGCCCCUUCUCCCCAUUCAUGCUCUCUCUCUCAAAUAAAUGAAUAAAUAAAUAAA